rnacentral:misc_RNA from 1 species
GAUGAAGAACGUAGCGAAAUGCGAAAAGUAGUGUGAAUUGCAGAAUUCAGUGAAUCAUCGAAUCUUUGAACGCACAUUGCGCCCCCUGGUAUUCCGGGGGGCAUGCCUGUCCGAGCGUCAUUGCUGCCCUCAAGCACGGCUUGUGUGUUGGGCCUCCGUCCUCCUCCCGGGGGACGGGCCCGAAAGGCAGCGGCGGCACCGCGUCCGGUCCUCGAGCGUAUGGGGCUUCGUCACCCGCUCUUGUAGGCCCGGCCGGCGCUUGCCGACACAUCAAUCUUUUUUCCAGGUUGACCUCGGAUCAGGUAGGGAUACCCGCUGAACUUAAGCAUAUCAAUAAGCGGAGGA